GAAUCCGCUAAGGAGUGUGUAACAACUCACCUGCCGAAUGAACUAGCCCUGAAAAUGGAUGACGCUUAAGCGGGUUGCCGACACCAGACCGUUUCGAUAAGAAGCGAUCGAAAUGAGUAGGAGGGCGUGGCGGUUUUGUUGUGAAGGAUGAGACGCAAGUCUAUCUGAAACGGCCGCUAGUGCAGAUCUUGGUGGUAGUAGCAAAUAUUCAAGCGAGAUCCUUGAAGGGCGAAGCGGGGAAGGGUUCCACGCGAACAUUGAUUGGGCGUGGGUGAGUCGUUCCUAAGCCGGGUGGUAAUCGUUCUUCGAUCGGCGAAAGGGAAGCGGGUUAAAAUUCUCGCACACGGAUGUGGAGGCGGUGACGCAAAUUGAGGUGGAGACGUUAGCGGUGGCACUGGGCAGAGUUUUCUUUUCUGUUUAACCUGUGAGUGCACUCUGUGGAAUCCGAUUAUCGGGCGAAACAGGUGCUUAUGGGAAGAGCGUCGGGGCGUCCCCGGCGUCCAGUACGCCACCGAUAGCCCUUGAAAAUCCAUCUGCAAUGAAAUUUCACGCCGUGGCGUACCGAUAACCGCAUCAGGUCCCCAAGGUGAACAGCCUCUGCUCAAUAUGAACAAUGCAGGUAAGGGAAGUCGGCA
rnacentral:rRNA from 1 species